AGAGUUUGAUCCUGGCUCAGAACGAACGCUGGCGGCGUGCCUAACACAUGCAAGUCGUACGCGAAAGGGGGCAACCCCCGGUAGCGUGGCAGACGGGUGAGUAACACGUGGGUAACCUGCCCGGAGGUGGGGGAUAACCCUUCGAAAGGAGGGCUAAUACCGCAUAACGCCGCAGGGUCCUCGGACCUUGCGACCAAAGCUGGCCUCUGUUUACAAGCUAGCGCCACUGGAGGGGCCCGCGCCCCAUUAGCUAGUUGGUGAGGUAACGGCUCACCAAGGCGACGAUGGGUAGCCGGCCUGAGAGGGCGAUCGGCCACACUGGAACUGAGACACGGUCCAGACUCCUACGGGAGGCAGCAGUGAGGAAUCUUGCGCAAUGGGCGAAAGCCUGACGCAGCGACGCCGCGUGGAGGAUGAAGGUCUUCGGAUCGUAAACUCCUGUCGAGCGGGACGAAUUCCGGGAGGGUGAACAAUCCUCUCGGUUGACGGUACCGCUGGAGGAAGCCCCGGCUAACUCCGUGCCAGCAGCCGCGGUAAUACGGAGGGGGCCAGCGUUGUUCGGAAUCAUUGGGCGUAAAGGGCGCGUAGGCGGCCGAGCAAGUCGGAUGUGAAAUACCCCGGCUCAACUGGGGAACUGCAUCUGAAACUGCUUGGCUUGAGUCCUGGAGAGGGUAGUGGAAUUCCCAGUGUAGCGGUGAAAUGCGUAGAUACUGGGAGGAACACCGGUGGCGAAGGCGGCUACCUGGACAGGUACUGACGCUGAGGCGCGAAAGCUAGGGGAGCAAACAGGAUUAGAUACCCUGGUAGUCCUAGCUGUAAACGAUGGGCACUUGGUGUUGCGGGUAUCGACCCCUGCAGUGCCGAAGCUAACGCAUUAAGUGCCCCGCCUGGGGAGUACGGUCGCAAGGCUGAAACUCAAAGGAAUUGACGG
rnacentral:rRNA from 1 species